AUUGAACGCUGGCGGCAGGCUUAACACAUGCAAGUCGAGCGGAGAGAGGUAGCUUGCUACUGAUCUUAGCGGCGGACGGGUGAGUAAUGCUUAGGAAUCUGCCUAUUAGUGGGGGACAACACUUCGAAAGGAAUGAUAAUACCGCAUACGUCCUACGGGAGAAAGCAGGGGAUCUUCGGACCUUGCGCUAAUAGAUGAGCCUAAGUCGGAUUAGCUAGUUGGUGGGGUAAAGGCCUACGAAGGCGACGAUCUGUAGCGGGUCUGAGAGGAUGAUACGCCACACUGGGACUGAGACACGGCCCAGACUCCUACGGGAGGCAGCAGUGGGGAAUAUUGGACAAUGGGCGGAAGCCUGAUCCAGCCAUGCCGCGUGUGUGAAGAAGGCCUUAUGGUUGUAAAGCACUUUAAGCGAGGAGGAGGCUACUUUAGUUAAUACCUAGAGAUAGUGGACGUUACUCGCAGAAUAAGCACCGGCUAACUCUGUGCCAGCCGCCGCCGUAAAAC
rnacentral:rRNA from 1 species